CAGGGGGAUAACCCGGAGAAAUCCGGCCUAAUACCGCGUAACACCUUUUGGGAGCAUUCCCGGGAGGUUAAAGGAGAGAUCCGGCAUAGGAUGGACAUGCGUCGCAUUAGGUAGACGGCGGGGUAACGGCCCACCGUGCCGACGAUGCGUAGGGGUUCUGAGAGGAAGGCCCCCCACACUGGUACUGAGACACGGACCAGACUCCUACGGGAGGCAGCAGUGAGGAAUAUUGGUCAAUGGCCGAGAGGCUGAACCAGCCAAGUCGCGUGAGGGAAGAAUGUCCUAAGGAUUGUAAACCUCUUUUGUCGGGGAGCAAAAAGGCUCUGCGGAGUCGUAUUGAGAGUACCCGAAGAAAAAGCAUCGGCUAACUCCGUGCCAGCAGCCGCGGUAAUACGGAGGAUGCGAGCGUUAUCCGGAUUUAUUGGGUUUAAAGGGUGCGCAGGCGGCGUGUCAAGCAAGCGGUAAAAUAGCGGGGCUCAACCCCGUCGAGCCGUUUGAACUGGCGCGCUUGAGUUCAGGCGAGGUAGGCGGAAUUCGUGGUGUAGCGGUGAAAUGCAUAGAUAUCACGAAGAACUCCGAUUGCGAAGGCAGCUUACCAGUCUGCGACUGACGCUCAGGCACGAAAGUGUGGGUAUCGAACAGGAUUAGAUACCCUGGUAGUCCACACAGUAAACGAUGAGCACUAGGUGUCCGGGUCGCAUGAGACUGGGUGCCCGAG
rnacentral:rRNA from 1 species